ensembl:snRNA U6 U6 spliceosomal RNA
GUGCUUGCUUUGGCAGCACAUAUACUAAAAUUGGAAUGAUAGAGAGAAAAUUAGCUUGGCCCCUGUGCAAGGAUGACAUGCAAAUUAAUGAAGUGUUCCAAAUUAAA